AUUCGAGCCGGUGCCACCAAUUCCAUUUUCCAAGCUUUAUAAUUCCACCAUAAUCAUUUGUUCUUGGCAGAAAUAUGUUAUGCAAGCACUCAGCUGAGGAUAAUAUUUUUGAACAAUUUUUCCAGUGCUCUGGUUAUGUGAUUAUGGGAAUUUAGGACUCUGGAUUAAUUCACUCUCAGAUUUUGUGUUUCUGGAUCUCAAAAAAAAAAAAGCUUUUUAAAAUAACACAAUUUAGCUUAAAUCAUUACUUCCAUACCAGUCAUAUUUGUUACAAGAUAAUGUCACCCAACACAAGAACGUAUUGGGAGGGAACCAGCCACUGCUUUCUCCUGCUCAUUACAGUACCAUGCCAGCAGCUUUGUUUGCAUUCAGUAAUUCCCAUCCUGCUUCAGGUACAAAGUGACUAGUGAUUUUUUUUUUUUAGUUUCUCACUCUAUGAACUAAGUGUUUUUUUUGACCAGGCGACCUUUCCGCUCUUGACUUAAAUUUGAUGCCAAGGAAUGCAAGCAUAGAUUGGUUGGUAGAGGGCUUGCCUCAUAAGCACAAAGCCCUGAGUUUGAUUGAUAACAUAGUACCAACCAAAAGUAAUAAUGCAUGCCUGAGACCCUAACAUUUGGAAGGUAGAGUCUUGACUACAUGAAACCCUGUCUCAAAAUAAUAUUUCUAGGAAGUAUAGCUAUUUUAUUCGUAUUUUUAUCCCUAGAGUUUUCCCCAAACUUAAUUCCUUAGCAUUUCAAUUUGAUCUAUACUAGUGUUAAAUGAACUGCUGCCAGAGAACGUGAAUGCAAGAGAUGAGUCUGUGUUCCUUCUUUCUUAAAAUCCAAAAGAUUUUGACAGGAAAACGUUAGCCACAGCUUGUUCCCAAACAGUGACCAAAGCUCAGGGACAAUGCUUGGCAGUACUGGUUUGAAAUUUGUCAUAAGAUUUCCUAAGCUUGUAGUGAAACACUUGUGAGAGAGAAUGAGUUAACAUUUUUAGAGGGAUUUCAGUGAAAUAAAAGCAGUGUGUUUGAAUUUUUAUAAGCCACAGUAUCUACCCACCCAAAAGCUUUGUAAGAAUAUUUAGCACACAUGUAUGUGCCAGAUGGAUUGUAAUGACAGUUGGUAGGCCUCUUCUAACCCUUUCGUUCUGUUGUCAGAAAUCUGCAUAUCAAAACAACGAUACUUUUUACAAUAAGAUUUUUUGGGUAAAAUACACAUUGAAAAAAAUCUACUGUCUAUUAAGACUCUAAUUUAACAUCAUAUGGCGUUUUUAAGUUAAAGGUUUUCAUAAGACUAUCUUAAUAUACCUUAUAGAAAUAUAAAUAAGUUACUUUUGAAGACUACUAAAUACUUUCUUGAUCUUACCUUCUUUUCCUUAUGAACAUGAAUUCUUUUUUAAAUUGUGUAUGUGAAGUAUUAUAUGUGUUCUAUAUGGUUCUGUGUGUGUGUGUGUGUGUGUGUGUGUGUGUGUGUGUGUGUGUGUGUGUGUUUACGCAUGUAGAGGCCACAGGUUAGAUAUCCUUUCUAGUUUACUCCCUUCCUUUGAUUUUUGAGGUAGGGUCUCUCACUGAAGUCGAAGCUAACUUGUUCAGAUAGACUAGCUAUCCAGUUAACUCCUGGGAUCUGCCUGUCUCCACCACCCUCUACCCCAGGCUAGGAGUUGUAAGUACACACAUCAAGCCCAGAUUUUUACAUAUGUCUGAAAUAGAGGAACUAAAUUCUCAUGCUUGUGUUGCAGUAAGAUAUUUCACAGCCCUGUGAGUGAAUUUUUAGUUUUAUAGAUUAGAUAUAGAUAUAAAUUAGAUAUAGAUAUGUUGACUAUAAUGCAAAACACUCAGUUCCCUUUAAGGUCAAGAAUCUAUAGAGGCCAAAGCAAAAACAUACGAUAAUAUUCCAAGUCGAAUGCUCUUGUGGCUGAGAUAAUACUAACAAAUGAGUUGAAACUGUAAGAAGUUAGUAACUAGAAUUAGCAUCCUAGUGUUUUGUGAUGUCCAUUCUAGUGUUAUUGUGGGGAACCUCAAUGAGUACUUGUUCUAGACCAAAAUACAUGGUUGUAAUUUCAUGAGAAGGGGACAGGUGGCCCCACCAAUUAAAAAUUCCUCAAGAUUAUAAAUGUAUAUUUCAUCAUCUUGUGUCAAAAUAUUCAUUUUAAUAUUCAAACAUCUUACCACAUAAUAAGCUGUAACCAUAUGUUUGUUAUAUUAAACCACUAUAACAUUAAUAAAUAUUUACAGAGCUGCACUACAUCCUAGAUGUUGAGAAAUGAUAGCUCCCAGUUUGGUUUUAAGUAUAUGCCUUCAAUGCCUCAGAAAGUAAUUUUAAGUAACAUUAUAUUUGUUACACAGUGAUAAAAAUCAAUGGAUUUGAAUUUAUAAGCUGGACACUCCCUUGAAAAUGACAUCAUUCUAUUGUCCCCAAAUGUAUAAAUCAAGGAUGCAGUGUUAUCUCAGGUUUCGGACCCUUGGCUGGGUGUUUUGGCUUUUUCUUUAUUUGUAUCUGAGUUCUCUAUUCAACAUGGAUCUGAAGGCUUUCCAUUAGUAAGAGAAAGAUAGCUAUACAUAUCUUUGUAACCAAACCUGGUAGUGCCAAGAAAAUAAAUGUGAAUCUCUUAAUUAUUAAUAUGUCAAAUUGUAUGAUUGAUCAGGGGUUUUAUGAUCUCCAAAACUACAAUAUUUCUGUCCAUUGGAUUGUACAUAGUUUCGGUGAAAACAUUUUUUUUUAAAGAAUAAAAUUCAGGACUCCUGACUCAUAGUUUUCCAAACUGUUACACUGUUUUAUUGGUAUUUAUCCCUUAGUGACAGCUGAAACUAGCGCAGACCUACAUCAGGAGACAGGAGGCUGGCGAGAAGCCACUGACUUCACUUUCAGGUGUCAGGAGAGUCUCAGGCUGAUUCGUACUCGCCUGAAACCAGGAGGAGUUUGUGCUGUUUGAUAACUCCUGACUUGGUUGUCUAAAUACAGUGCUGUCGUCCUUACCCAGCUCAGGAUAAUGAAGCCCUAAGCUCAGCCAUCCCAGAGCUGCUUCCCACUCUUGUUUAGGAAGAUAGUUUCCCAAUAUUGGAAAUUUCAAUACAGAAUCUUACAGAUUCCCCAGAACUCUAACAAGCAAAAAUAAUUCCCCCCAAAAUGAGCUUCUUCCCCACAAGGACUUGGUGAUUAGCCGGCUUCUUUAAUGCUCCUUUUGCUGUCAAGCACCAGAGUCAAGACGGAAUAGUAACUCCAACCACUAUGUUAAAUCCAGAGAUAAUGUUGGCAACAUUUCUGCUUUUUUGUCGUAGAUUCUGAAAUGAUUUUGCAACAUCCUGACUGCUUGUAUGUCUGUGGGAAAAGAGUACUGAAUCGCAUUACACUUGGCACCUUGUAAUUGGUUUUCAUUAUAUAUUUCUAUCUGAGUUUUGUAUCAAGAUAGUUUACCUUUCUUUGUACAUUGACUGAAAUUGGCUGAAAACAAAAAUAGCUCCUUGUUCCUUU
rnacentral:lncRNA from 1 species